rnacentral:rRNA from 1 species
UAUAAGACGAGAAGACCCCAUGGAGCUUUAAACCCAACUACACCCCCUUCAACACAACCUUUAAAAUUAUGGGACCCUGUAUGUUCUGGUUUUGGGUUGGGGUGACCACGGAGCAUAAACUAGCCUCCACAAUGAACAAGACUCCUCUCUUUAUCUAAGAUCUACACCUCCAAGAAUUAGCACUCUAACAUAAAAUGAUCCGAUAUUCGAUCAACGAACCAAGUUACCCU